rnacentral:rRNA from 1 species
UACGAAGGGGGCUAGCGUUGCUCGGAAUCACUGGGCGUAAAGGGUGCGUAGGCGGGUCUUUAAGUCAGGGGUGAAAUCCUGGAGCUCAACUCCAGAACUGCCUUUGAUACUGAGGAUCUUGAGUUCGGGAGAGGUGAGUGGAACUGCGAGUGUAGAGGUGAAAUUCGUAGAUAUUCGCAAGAACACCAGUGGCGAAGGCGGCGCUCUGGACCGAGACUGACGCUGAGGCGCGAAAGCGUGGGGAGCAAACAGG